rnacentral:tRNA from 1 species
GGGGAUUUAGCUCAGUGGUAGAGCGAUGGCCUAGCAAGCGCAAGGCCCUGGGUUCGAUCCCCAGCUCCG